UUUCCAUUGAUAGAGGUAGUUUUCACUAGUCCAAACAAAUCAAUAUGCAAAAUUUCGAACAGUCUAGAGGUAGAAAUAACAAUUUUCGCUUUGAAAGAUGUUUUAGAAAACUUGCCUUUUUGAUAUGCUUUACAAAGAGCAUCUGAAGAGAACUACGGGUUGGGUAAGCUGUAGCGGGGUAUUCGUUACCAUUAGAGAUA
rnacentral:lncRNA from 1 species